GGUGAAAAGCACCCCGGAAGGGGAGUGAAAUAGAACCUGAAACCGUGUGCUUACAAGUAGUCAGAGCCCGUUAAUGGGUGAUGGCGUGCCUUUUGUAGAAUGAACCGGCGAGUUACGAUUUGAUGCAAGGUUAAGCAGUAAAUGUGGAGCCGUAGCGAAAGCGAGUCUGAAUAGGGCGUUUAGUAUUUGGUCGUAGACCCGAAACCAGGUGAUCUACCCUUGGUCAGGUUGAAGUUCAGGUAACACUGAAUGGAGGACCGAACCGACUUACGUUGAAAAGUGAGCGGAUGAACUGAGGGUAGCGGAGAAAUUCCAAUCGAACCUGGAGAUAGCUGGUUCUCUCCGAAAUAGCUUUAGGGCUAGCCUCAAGUGAUGAUUAUUGGAGGUAGAGCACUGUUUGGACGAGGGGCCCCUCUCGGGUUACCGAAUUCAGACAAACUCCGAAUGCCAAUUAAUUUAACUUGGGAGUCAGAACAUGGGUGAUAAGGUCCGUGUUCGAAAGGGAAACAGCCCAGACCACCAGCUAAGGUCCCAAAAUAUAUGUUAAGUGGAAAAGGAUGUGGCGUUGCCCAGACAACUAGGAUGUUGGCUUAGAAGCAGCCAUCAUUUAAAGAGUGCGUAAUAGCUCACUAGUCGAGUGACACUGCGCCGAAAAUGUACCGGGGCUAAACAUAUUACCGAAGCUGUGGAUUGUCCUUUGGACAAUGGUAGGAGAGCGUUCUAAGGGCGUUGAAGCAUGAUCGUAAGGACAUGUGGAGCGCUUAGAAGUGAGAAUGCCGGUGUGAGUAGCGAAAGACGGGUGAGAAUCCCGUCCACCGAUUGACUAAGGUUUCCAGAGGAAGGCUCGUCCGCUCUGGGUUAGUCGGGUCCUAAGCUGAGGCCGACAGGCGUAGGCGAUGGAUAACAGGUUGAUAUUCCUGUACCACCUAUAAUCGUUUUA
rnacentral:rRNA from 1 species